CCGCCCGCGCCACCCCCGCGCGCUCGCGACCCUGCGCGGGCCGGCCACCGGGUGGGGCCGAGUCGGGGCGCCCUCCGGGGGUCGCCGGGAGGACCGAAGGGCUGACGGGCCUGGCCCCGCCCCGGGACUGUCGCGCCGUGGGGAGGGCGCGGCUGCGCCCCGAAACUGCCUGGCCGGGGCGGGGCCGCGCCGGAGCUGGGGUGGGUCCUCCAGGCCGGGGCCACGCUGCGGGGCUUUGCUCCCUGGGACGUCCCUGCGGCCUGUCCCUUCGGGCUCCACGAGGAGCCCGGGCGCCAGUGCCGGGCUGGGGAAGGGGCGCGGCGGGGGUCCCCGACACUCUGCAUCCCUGGGCGCGGGGGAGCCCUCACCUCGCCGUGGUCCCCGAGCGCAGCCACGACCAUGCAGGUCCUUCCACGGGGCGCCCUGCCCCGGGUCUACGUUGUUUGGGAGACCGAGACCCCUUUCUACCCGACUCGACACAUCCCUGCCCCUCAAAUCACAGGCCGGAUUGUCCGCAGGCGCGCGCUCCGGCUUGGGGCUACCCCGCCCCCUUCUGUGUUGAGGAGGUGGUGUGGAGCGAGGCCUUUGUUUCAUUCUGGUCACCUGUAGACAUCAUAGGGAAACUGAGGUAGACAACGGAAACCCUGACUUUCCUGAAGGUCGGCUCCGCAGUCUCGGGCGGUCGGGGGGAUUCCCUCGUCCUUUUACGAUGCUAGUUAAGGGCAGGGGUCAGGGCUGCGUGGGUUUAGGCACAGGCUGGUUCGGGGCGCUCACUUCUUGCCCGGAGCGGCGCCAGUGCUUUGGUUACACACCCCGUGAGGCGCCCGGCACUAGUUUCCUUGUGCACUGCAGGAAUUUUCAGGGUUGGAGCGCCGGCCGCGGAGGGAUGGCAGUCAGGCCGCGCAGUGAGGCGACGGACUCGCCCGAGGUCGCAGGGCGUUCAGCUUGACUCGACAGGCUGGAGGACGGGGCCAGGGUCCCCACGCGGAGUCCCGAGCCCUGCAGGGUUAGCUCGCGACCCCGUGUUUGGGAGCGAGAACAGCGAGUCAGGGCACGGCGGCCGGCCCAGCUCACCUGCGGGCUGCAGUCACCCCGGACGCCGAGACCCGUGCCUAAGGUCCCCGUGCCCCAGGCCUCCCGGGGGUACUGAGCUCUCCAGGCCCAGACUCUCCGGGGGCCCGGGCAAGGAUGUCAGGUGUGUUCCCUCCCGUGGCGAAGCCGGGGCUGGGCCUCCUACAAACCCACACGGAGUCGCGUCCCUGGUCAGAACCGCACAGCCUGCUCGACCCCCGGGUGGGGACUUCCACUUGGGGGGGUCCCAAGAUGCGACGUGCCCCACCGUGGGACACGGGGCGGGUGGGCAAUAGCCUGCCCCUCCCGGUCUCCGGCCUCCUCCGAAGCUCCUUUGUCUGGGAAGUGCGGGGAGGCGCAGGCCCCGGGCGCGAGUCCCCGUCCCCCACCCUUCCUCGCCACUUUGCAGACCCGAGGCCGCCAGGGUCAUGGGGGCGGGGCUGGCGCCUCGAGACCCCGGGGUUCCCCGCCACCCCCAGGGCCUGAGCCGCAGGGAGGGGCGGGGAGGGGGCGCCGCCCCGGGCGGGGGACGGGGAGCGACUUCCUCCUCUGCGGCCGCGUCACGCGGCGGGGGUCAAGGUGCGGCCCAGGUGCGCGGCGGGGGGCGGCGGCGCGGCCAUAUUUGGCGAUUUCGGCGCCGCCGGAGCCCCGCCCCCCGCCGCCGGGAAGCCGGGCCCGGGGCAGCGCCGUCCCCGCCUGCCGCCGGGCCUGAGUCACGGCGGGCGGGGGGCGGAAGUAACGGACGGGGAGCGCCCGCCCGGCGCUCCUGGCCUUAUUUAGUCAAAGAGGCCGCCGAUUGGCGCGCGGGACAAAGGGGCGGUGGCGGGGCAGCCCCGGGGUGCUGGACUGGCCCGGCGCCUCCGAGGGGUUGGGGCGGGAGCCGGGCGUGGGGGGCCUCGGCGCCUGGGGAGUCCCGGGGCCGAGGGCGGCGGAGGAUGCGGGGCUGCCUGCCCCUGGGAAGCGGGCGGGCAGGGCGAGGCCUGGAGCCCACGGGGCGCAGGGGGCCGGACCGCGCACUGUGAUUUUUCUGUUUUGCAGCGGGGCCUCGCCCAAGGUUGCGCCAGGGCUGUCCUGGGCUAUGCUCUGGGAAGCCGGUGGCGCAGGGUGGCCACCACCACCCUUCUAGAACCAGUGCCGGAGAGGGCCGGGCAGCUGGGCCUGGGGAGGGGACCGCAUGGAUGGAACUGGGGGGAGCUGGGCGGCCGCCGAGCCGGGAGAGUCAGCAGCUGCACUUCCGCCACAGGGUUUCAAGUGAUCCACUCGCCUGGGCCUUCCAAAGUGCUGGGAUGACAGGUGUGAGCCACCUUGCCCAGCCUGGAAUGUGUUAUCAUCUCCCACUAAAUGAAACGAUGGACCCUGAACAGAAAAAGGAACCGUGGUGGAAGAAAUAGCAAAACCCAAAGCCUCGAGUUUGGUCGUAUUAAGGUUAAUCUCUCAGUUAUGCCAGUUGUCCUAUGACCCUGUAAGAUGCCAGGUUAGGGGACACUGGGAGUAGAGCAUUGGGAACUUUCCUGCUGUCUUUGCAACUUUUCUGUAAGUCUAAAGUUAUCCCAUAAUAAAAAGCUAACUUGAAUCCAAGGCAA